UACGUAGGUGGCGAGCGUUGUCCGGAUUUACUGGGCGUAAAGAGCGCGCAGGCGGUCGUGCAAGUCGCGUGUGAAAGCCCCCGGCUCAACUGGGGAGGGUCACGCGAUACUGCUCGACUCGAAGGCAGGAGAGGGAUGCGGAAUUCCAGGUGUAGCGGUGAAAUGCGUAGAUAUCUGGAGGAACACCGGUGGCGAAGGCGGCAUCCUGGACCGGCAUUGACGCUGAGGCGCGAAAGCUAGGGGAGCAAACGGG
rnacentral:rRNA from 1 species